AACGAACGCUGGCGGCAUGCCUAACACAUGCAAGUCGAACGAGAUCUUCGGGUCUAGUGGCGCACAGGUGCGUAACGCGCGGGAAUCUGCCCUUUGGUUCGGAAUAACAGUUGGAAACGACUGCUAAUACCGGAUGAUGACGAAAGUCCAAAGAUUUAUCGCCAGAGGAUGAGCCCGCGUAGGAUUAGCUAGUUGGUGUGGUAAAGGCGCACCAAGGCGACGAUCCUUAGCUGGUCUGAGAGGAUGAUCAGCCACACUGGGACUGAGACACGGCACAGACUUCUACGGGAGGCAGCAGUGGGGAAUAUUGGACAAUGGGCGAAAGCCUGAUCCAGCAAUGCCGCGUGAGUGAUGAAGGCCUUAGGGUUGUAAAGCUCUUUUACCCGGGAUGAUAAUGACAGUACCGGGAGAAUAAGCACCGGCUAACUCCGUGCCAGCCGCCGCCGUAA
rnacentral:rRNA from 1 species